rnacentral:rRNA from 1 species
UACGGAGGGUGCAAGCGUUAUCCGGAUUCACUGGGUUUAAAGGGAGCGCAGGCGGAUUAGUAAGUCAGUGGUGAAAGCCUUAAGCUUAACUUGGGAACUGCCAUUGAUACUAUUAGUCUUGAAUGUUGUUGAGGUUUGCGGAAUGGGUCAUGUAGCGGUGAAAUGCAUAGAUAUGACCCGGAACACCUAUUGCGAAGGCAGCAGGCUAAACAAAUAUUGACGCUGAGGCUCGAAAGCGUGGGGAGCAAACAGG